GGCAUCCUGGCCCUGCAGCUGCCCCCGGGGAGGCUCGACGCCGAGUCCUACAGCGCUUGCCUCCACCUGGCCGAGAUGCAGCAUCGGGUGCGGAAGGCGCUGGCAGAGUGCGAGCGGCUGCUGCGGGCACGGGCAUCCUGGCCCUGCAGCUGCCCCCGGGGAGGCUCGACGCCGAGUCCUAC